UACGGGGGGGGCAAGCGUUGUUCGGAAUUACUGGGCGUAAAGGGCGCGUAGGCGGCCUUCUAAGUCGGACGUGAAAUCCCUCGGCUUAACCGAGGAACUGCGUCCGAUACUGAAAGGCUUGAAUCCGGGAGAGGGAUGUGGAAUUCCAGGUGUAGCGGUGAAAUGCGUAGAUAUCUGGAGGAACACCGGUGGCGAAGGCGGCGAUCUGGGUCGAUACUGACGCUGAGGUGCGAAAGCGUGGGGAGCAAACAGG
rnacentral:rRNA from 1 species